AUAUGAUACCAAUAACACACACCUUCACAUGACACCAAUAACACACACCUUCACAUGACACCAAUAACACACACCUUCAGUGAUGGGUUAAUGAUCAAUAUAUAGAUGGUGGAUCGACAGAGAGUAAGUGAUGGGUUAAUGAUCAAUAUAUAGAUGGUGGAUCGACAGAGAGUAAGUGAUGGGUUAAUGAUCAAUAUAUAGAUGGUGGAUUGACAGAGAGUAAGUGAUGGGUUAAUGAUCAAUAUAUAGAUGGUGGAUUGACAGAGAGUAAGUGAUGGGUUAAUGAUCAAUAUAUAGAUGGUGGUUCUGAUCUUAUCAGAUGUAGACAGAUCCUAUAUGGUCUUCCCAAAAUGACUGACCUGUUUCAAUAUACACUGUUUUUAAUCUGAUUUCUCACAUCGACUUAUUUGAUUACAUGGUACAUAAUGGUUUUUGUGAUAGAACCGUUUGAUCAGUAGAUGGUUUGUGGAUAUUUGGCCUGGAUGGUGCAGUAGUUCAUGUAUCGGACUAGUCCUUGGCUUGAUUCCCAACUUUAUCUGUACAUUGUAUAUUAUCGAGGGUGGGGUGGGGGAAUCGUUUCAUUAUCUUUCAAAAGGAAAUGUCACAAAAGGUAUAUGUAUACCAAAUGUGAACCCAUAAAGUUAAGUAUUGAGUUAAGAAUAAAGUUAAAGUUUCUGUGACAGAUUAACAGACAGACAAGAAUACACACACACACACACCCCUAAAGAAGUCUCUCCUAAGUUCUCGAUGUUGCAGUUUAUUAGUGGGAGGACAUAUCUUAACAUACAAGUAUAAGGGAAUAUUUAAAUUUAAUUUUUUUUGGUUUGAUAGCAACUGAAUUCAGUCAUAUAUAGGUAAUAUAAAACUCACAUCAAAGUUAGAAUAAAUUGCUUUAUCAAAUCAUUGUAGCAGUCUUCAUGUCCUAGUCUCAUAAGAGACAAUUUGCUAGAAAUAUAUUGUUGAUAAACUUGCAGUGUGACAGCCGACCUCUCAGUGUUUUGUCUUUUUAGAUGGAGGAAAUGAAUACGAACCUGGGGAAAAGCUCCCGUGUUUUGUCAGGAAUGAUGAAAAGAAUCAUACAAAACAGACUUAUGCUUCUUGUGAUAUGUGCUAUUCUGCUGAUCGUCAUCGUGUUAGCCAUAUAUUUCAUCGUAAAGAAAAAGUCUUGACGACGAAUCCCAGUAGCAGACUUUGGGUGUCAUUAGUGCAAUCUCAUCAGGUGUACCUGUUCAAUCAACGUUUAACGUGUGACGGCAAAGUGUUCACCAAAGAAGAAAAUGGAAAAUUGAUAGCAACCAAGAGGGGAAAUUUGCUUUUAAACCAGGAAGAAAGUGUAUCUAAACAACUUUUAAUUGAUUUUAAAUUUGAUACUUUUACAGUAAUUUUAAACUAAACCUUUAUUUUUUUCCAGAGAAUAGACUGCAAUUGAAAUUGCAUUACACUGUCAGUAGUGAAUGUCUCGUGUGUCCUGUAGGAUGUGAUUACUUUUGUUGUUAAUAUUAUUGUAAUAAAUGACAUUAUCAUCUGA